UACGUAGGGUGCGAGCGUUAACCGGAAUUACUGGGCGUAAAGCGUGCGCAGGCGGUGAUGUAAGACAGAUGUGAAAUCCCCGGGCUCAACCUGGGAACUGCAUUUGUGACUGCAUCGCUGGAGUGCGGCAGAGGGGGAUGGAAUUCCGCGUGUAGCAGUGAAAUGCGUAGAGAUGUGGAGGAACACCGAUGGCGAAGGCAGCCCCCUGGGUCAACACUGACGCUCAUGCACGAAAGCGUGGGGAGCAAACAGG
rnacentral:rRNA from 1 species